CCUGUGAUAUCGUUUGGAUGUGCGGCUUUAUCGAUUGAUGCACCUUCAACCAUUAAGAAGAAUCCAUUUUCAUUUUUCUCUAAUUUGUCUAAUGC
rnacentral:sRNA from 1 species